rnacentral:misc_RNA from 1 species
UAUCACUAAUCAAGCCCGGCUUGCUGUUGGACCAUAUGUCGUUAAAAGACAGGCCCCAAAGAUAAUGACGGUGUCUUUUAGACCCUAGAUGCAACGAGCUUUAACCAGCACGCGUUUAGUUGGUCUUUUUGACCCGGUCUUUUUUAACCAAUUUUAAAAAGGUUGACCUCGGAUCAGGUAGGAAUACCCGCUGAACUUAA